rnacentral:rRNA from 1 species
GGGAUAAAGGAAUAGGCCCCUGUCGUCGUAUUUUCAGUUGGUUUUGGCAGCGCGAAAACUAGGGUAAUGAUUAAUAGGGAUAGUUGGGGGCAUUAAUAUUUAAUUGUCAGAGGUGAAAUUCAUGGCUUUAUGAAAGAUUAACUUAUGCGAAAGCAUCUGCCAAGGAUGUUUUCAUUAAUCAAGAACGAAAGUUAGGGGAUCGAAGACGAUCAGAUACCGUCGUAGUCUUAACCAUAAACGAUGCCGACCAGCGAUUAGGAGACGUUGAAUAAAAAACACCCCAUCGGCGCGGUCGUCCCUGGCUCUGCGUCUCACGACGGCGGGCGGGGGCGGUUUAGCCCGAUGGCACCGGUGAAUGACUCCCUACAGCUUGUGAGAA